AAAGUGUGAAAAUGUCGUGUGUUAAAUUUGUGUGCAUUAAAUAUUUUUUAUAAGUGUGUAAUUUAAUUAAAAUCAGUGUAGUUUACAUUUAACAUAAUAUAUGAUAGUUUGUCUGUAUAUCUGUGCAACUCAAAGUAUGCUUUAAACAUGCGCGAAGUGCUUAUUGUGCUGUGCUUGUUUCUACGUCUCUAGCGGAAGACGCUUCAACGGGCGCGUAUUUUUCCAAAUUAGCAUUAGGGUAGAAAACACAAAAUAUUAUUUUAUAAAAUCAAUUUGUUAAGUAUUUCCAUAAUCCCAACCAUUUACAUAAUAUGGUCAAUGUAAAAAUUAUAUCUAGCGUCCAACAUCAGACUUCUGUACAUAAGGGUAAAGGUGGCAACCCUUCCAAAAAUUUUUUUCAUUCGUGGCAACACUUUCAAAAAUUUUGUUCAACCUGCGUCUCUGGCAGUCCAAAAUCGCACAGCUCACACAAUCAGUGAACUAAGAAUGCACACGACAUGCGAUAAAUUCCAUUGCGCUGCUCGUGUGAAAUGUCAAAUUGAAUUUAUGAUUGCCUGCUGAGUUUGGUUUAAUUAAAUUUUUGAAGUGAACAAAAAAUAAAAAAUUAAAUAAAAUCGCUGACAAGGAUUUAUGCAACAUGUGGCAGCCAUCAAUAUAACCAAGCAAA